rnacentral:snRNA from 1 species
GUAAUAUAAGUUUUGUCC